rnacentral:lncRNA from 1 species
GCUAAUUCCUUUAGAUCAAAAUAUACACUAUUUUAUUAUAUCAGCCUUUAGCAUUUUGGUUUAAUGUUGUUGAUUAGAUUUACAAGUAACUUGAUAGGACUGUAACAUACUAGGAUAAAGGUAAACAAAACUUUAUGACAAAGAAGUCUGGAAGGAUACAAAGAAUUUUCAAAAAUACUGCUGAAAAAAAUACCAGUGUAAGUGGAAGGUGGAAGUUGGGGCAUGGCUUUGAUAAAGCUAAGACUUAGUUUUAAAAAAAUUCAUUAGAGCGUCUCUAAAUUUUUACACUUAACAUUUGUUUGUUGUUUGUUUAAGUAUUAAAAGCUGGGUAAAGGAACAGGGAGGCUAAGGCUUUAAAUCAUAAAAUAACUGC